rnacentral:rRNA from 1 species
GAUGAACGCUGACAGAAUGCUUAACACAUGCAAGUCAACCGGAACGGCGGCAUGUGUGGCGGACGGUUGAGUAACGCGUAAGGAACUUGCCUCACAGCGAGGGACAACAUUUGGAAACGAAUGCUAAUACCAGAUAGUAUGAUAUUGGGGCAGCCUAGAAUUAUGAAAGCUAUAUGCACUGUGAGGGAGCUUUGCGUCGCAUUCGCGAGUUGGAGAGGUAACGGUGCCCUAAGGCGAUGAUGGGUAGCCGGCGUGAGAGGGUGAACGGCCACAAGGAGUCUGAGACACCCCACUCACCCAUGCGGGGCGCAGGUGUGGAGAAUAUCGCAAUGUGCAGCAACCGUCUGCUCCAGCACCUCUGUGUGCACGAUGAACUUUUUCGGAAUGUAAACGGCUUUCAGUUGCGAAGCAUAAUAUGACGGUACCUACAGAAGAAGUAACGGCUAACUACGUG